CACCACCUCCACUACAUCACCACUUCUACUUCCGCCACAAUUCCAAUACCAUCUCUACUCGAUCAUCUUCAUAUCAGAUCUCAUAAAAUAAAUUUCGGAUUUUGAGAUUUAAAUUUUGAGAUUUCAGUUUCUGGUAAUUUCUGAAUUCGAAAAUAUCAGUAAUUUCAGUGACAUCCAAAGAUUCAGACGAUUGAGAGUUGUGAUUUUUAGGUUUCGAUCUAUGGCAACUUCAAGUUGAAAUAUAGAAUAGAAACCAUCCAAAUUCCAGAGAUUAAUGAAUCAGGUUUGUAUCAAAAACCCUAAAAAUAUCCAUUUGAUUUGAAUCUCGCAUAUGUUGGAUGUGUUUUUAUGAUAUAAUUCAGUUAGUAAAACAUUAUAUUUUAUUGCAUUUCGAUCUGGUGCUUGUGGUGGUGGUGGUGGUAGAUGUUGUUGGAAUGGAGGUGACGGUGGUGGAUUCUGUUGUAAUAGUGUAGGCGAUGGUUUUGGUGAUAAAAGCAUCAAUAUUGGUCGUGUAGGAGCAGCAGUAGAGUGGUAGUACUGUAGAUGGUGGCAGCAACAGUGCCAAAUUAAUAGCGAAAUGGGAGUUGUGCUUAGGUAUGGCUGCUGGUUUGUAUAAUGAACCGUGCAGUAGAUGGAGGAUGGUUGCAGUGGUGAUGGUGGUUGCCGAUGGUUCUAAACAGUUGCUGGCAUUCGUAGUUAAGAAGACCAGGUAGAUAAAAAGAGAAUUGCUUCCAUGGUUAGAAAAUUUCGGUGGUAUACGGUGAUGAAACAAUGAUAAUUUAGGACUUGCGUGUUGUUUUGUAUGCAUCCUGGGUGCUAUUGGAGUUGGAAGGAAUCGGCUUCCGAGCCGCGAAGAGAGUUUAACAUACAAAAAUAGGCAAUGGCAGGACUUUGGUAAUGGAACUGGAAUUUGUUGUUCUAUGGUGUUCAGUUAUUCAGGUGGUUGAAACCAGUGGUGCUGAGAUGGGUUUAUGCCAACAAAUGGGUAACUGCAGAAGAUGCCGAGAUAGAUAAGCGAGACAAGGGACUGGUGGUGUUGGAGUUUAUCGAAGUUUAAAUAACUGUGAGAAUAAAGUUUUCGAUUGAGAAAAAUUUGGCAGGCAACAAACAAGAUCCUAAUGAUCAGAGUUGAUGGGUGAGUUGGCUGUUUGAGCAAAACAGUACUUGGAAACAGUAUUGCUAAGAAGAAGAGAUGUAUAAAAAGAACAAAACAGUGUAAAAAACCAACAAUGUCGAUGAAAUUGCAUAAGUUGUUUACUUCUUGUAAAUAAGUGUUCAAAGGACCUGAGAUGAUUCAAAACUCACUAGAAGUUCAAAAAUUCCGGCACAUUCUUGAUUGGUUACUAUUCUUUGCCGGUCUGGUAAUAUUUGGCGACACAACCAAGUACGCUUGCUCUACUAAUGAACAAGAAAUACUAAACAUUUCCGGUCAUGGAUGUCGGAACCUUUAACAAAAUCAUGUCCGGACAGAUUCAGGUUUUGCCACCGAAAAAUGGUCUCUGUUGAAGAGGAAAUAUGGUCUUUCUUAUAGUGCCAAUCGCGACUUUAUUUGUUCCUGCAUUUAAGGUAUACCUUUAGUGGUAAAUUAUCUUUAUGCAUACAUCUUAGAGUAAUCGCGACGAACCUGUGGUGCAAUGGUAGCACAAUUGACUAUAUGUCAGAAAAUAUUUUUUCGACUCAAACCAGGUUCACACAUUUGUGUAUAUUUUUUCUUUUGGACACAACUUAUGCUAGUUGCAUCCAAAUCUGAAGACAACUUGUGCUAGUUGCCUCCAAAUCUGAAGACAACUUGGACUAG